CCUACGGGGGGCAGCAGUGAGGAAUAUUGGUCAAUGGGCGGAAGCCUGAACCAGCCAAGUCGCGUGAGGGAAUAAGGCCCUACGGGUCGCAAACCUCUUUUGCCGGGGAGCAAGGGCGGGGACGUGUCCCGGCCCGGAGAGUACCCGGAGAAAAAGCAUCGGCUAACUCCGUGCCAGCAGCCGCGGUAAUACGGAGGAUCCGAGCGUUAUCCGGAUUUAUUGGGUUUAAAGGGAGCGUAGGUGGAUUGUUAAGUCAGUUGUGAAAGUUUGCGGCUCAACCGUAAAAUUGCAGUUGAAACUGGCAGUCUUGAGUACAGUAGAGGUGGGCGGAAUUCGUGGUGUAGCGGUGAAAUGCUUAGAUAUCACGAAGAACUCCGAUUGCGAAGGCAGCUCACUGGACUGCAACUGACACUGAGGCUCGAAAGUGUGGGUAUCAAACAGGAUUAGAUACCCUGGUAGUC
rnacentral:rRNA from 1 species